AAUGUACUCCCUCCGUCCAAAAAUACUUGUCAUCAAAAUGGAUAAAAAGAGAUGUAUCUAGAACUAAAAUACGUCUAGAUACAUCCCCUUUUAUCCAUUUUGAUGACAAGUAUUUCCGGACGGAGGGAGUACUAG
rnacentral:pre_miRNA from 1 species